rnacentral:rRNA from 1 species
AUGUUGAGCAUCAUGAGUUGUCCAGAGCUGGUCCUGGUGGACCCCCUUUCAACUUUUCUUCCUGCCAGAGGAGGGCUCCAGGCCCUGCCGUCCCUCAAGAAGUUACAAAUUUGGUCCUGCUCCAAGAUACUAUCCGCAGAGAGUUCUCCAUCCUGCUGCCCUUUUCCAUCCUCCCUGCAACAACUCGUUCUUGAGGGUGUGGAAGGCACGGUGACCCUCGGGCCUCUCCUUACUGCUGGGGGAAAGCUCAUAUGGUUAGUCAUUGGUGGCUGCCCUGGAUUCUUUGUUGGAUGGGAUCAGGAAUUGCAGAAGCUACAGAAUGGAGGAAAAGAGCAGGAACUGCAGCAGCUUGUUUCACCCCUGAAUGGAUGCAAACUGUAG